GGACCCUGAUUCAACAGGAGAGCCUGAACAGCUGCAAGAGCUUUCUGGUCUGAAGCAGCUUGAUCUAUUUUACUAAUUACACCAACAGUUCUGGUACCUUCUCCAUCAUAUUCCUUGGCAACCCUAAGGGCCCGAGAGGAAGCAAUUUCUGGUGCUUGGGCUGCAGGAAUGAUAACUAGCAAGAUGGCAUCAUUGUGCUCACCAUAGUCACUAACCAUAGACUCAUCCAUGAUACGUUGAUCAAGGCCAGGUAAGUCUGUCAAUUUCAGGGGAGGCGCUGUACUUGUCCGCAGUUUCAAAUAAAUUUCAUCCCCACUCUUGCCUGAGGAUCCCUUACUUAGCCUUUCCUGUAAAGAAUGUCGUAAAGCACUUGCAGAAACUUGUUGGGAUUUAUUGUCAAUUUGCAAAAUAAUUGAUUUGCUGCUCAAAGAGCCAUCCUUCUGUAAAUCAAUGCUUAUAGGAGCGCGGGUAGCACCAUUUUCACCAGUUGGCAGAACAGGAUGUCCAAUUAAGCUGUUUAAAACCGCAGAUUUACCAGCACCAACAUUGCCAAGGACAACAACAUUAAGAAAAGUAGAACUCCGUCUAGAAGUGGAGCUUGGAUUUUCAUCAACAUCUUCGUCGGCGAGCACAGCCGCCGCUUGCCUCAUGGACUCUGAGAGUUGCCCCAACUCUUCGAUCGCCUCCAUUUCAAUUGAAAUAAACAAAAUUUCCAAGAUCCAAAGAUCGACAAGAAGUAAAAGAGCAAAGAAUUGUUCUGACUAAAGACGAAANNNNNNNNNAAAAACCCUAUAAUUGGUGGUGGAGAUCAGAUGGCGUCGGGAGAGAUCAUAUAUUCAAAUUUCAACGAUUUGAAAACAGAGGGAGAGAGGAAAGAGGAAGGUGAAGUGAGGUAAGGUGAGGUGGGGUGGGUCUCUCUGGAGAGAUAUGUUUGUUUUUUGAACAGUGG
rnacentral:misc_RNA from 1 species